ACACGACAAUGGCAAACCCGUUGAAAAACGGAGACGCAAAGCUUCCGGUCUAAGUGCGCAUGCGCAUAGGACAGCGGGGUCACCGAA
rnacentral:ncRNA from 1 species